rnacentral:rRNA from 1 species
UAACACUAACUGGAGGACCGAACCGACUAAUGUUGAAAAAUUAGCGGAUGACCUGUGGCUGGGGGUGAAAGGCCAAUCAAACCGGGAGAUAGCUGGUUCUCCCCGAAAGCUAUUUAGGUAGCGCCUCGUGAAUUCAUCUCCGGGGGUAGAGCACUGUUUCGGCUAGGGGGCCAUCCCGGCUUACCAACCCGAUGCAAACUGCGAAUACCGGAGAAUGUUAUCACGGGAGACACACGGCGGGUGCUAACGUCCGUCGUGAAGAGGGAAACAACCCAGACCGCCAGCUAAGGUCCCAAAGUCAUGGUUAAGUGGGAAACGAUGUGGGAAGGCCCAGACAGCCAGGAUGUUGGCUUAGAAGCAGCCAUCAUUUAAAGAAAGCGUAAUAGCUCACUGGUCGAGUCGGCCUGCGCGGAAGAUGUAACGGGGCUAAACCAUGCACCGAAGCUGCGGCAGCGACACUGUGUGUUGUUGGGUAGGGGAGCGUUCUGUAAGCCUGUGAAGGUGUGUCGUGAGGCAUGCUGGAGGUAUCAGAAGUGCGAAUGCUGACAUAAGUAACGAUAAAGCGGGUGAAAAGCCCGCUCGCCGGAAGACCAAGGGUUCCUGUCCAACGUUAAUCGGGGCAGGGUGAGUCGACCCCUAAGGCGAGGCCGAAAGGCGUAGUCGAUGGGAAACGGGUUAAUAUUCCCGUACUUGGUGUUACUGCGAAGGGGGGACGGAGAAGGCUAUGUUGGCCGGGCGACGGUUGUCCCGGUUUAAGCGUGUAGGUGUGUGUUCCAGGUAAAUCCGGUUCACUUUAACACUGAGGCGUGACGACGAGGCACUACGGUGCUGAAGCAACAAAUGCCCUGCUUCCAGGAAAA